UACGUAGGGUGCAAGCGUUAAUCGGAAUUACUGGGCGUAAAGCGUGCGCAGGCGGUUGUGCAAGACAGAUGUGAAGUCCCCGGGCUCAACCUGGGAAUUGCAUUUGUGACUGCACGGCUAGAGUGUGUCAGAGGGGGGUAGAAUUCCACGUGUAGCAGUGAAAUGCGUAGAGAUGUGGAGGAAUACCGAUGGCGAAGGCAGCCCCCUGGGAUAACACUGACGCUCAUGCACGAAAGCGUGGGGAGCAAACAGG
rnacentral:rRNA from 1 species